CGCAGCCGCGGUAAUUCCAGCUCCAAUAGCGUAUAUUAAAGUUGUUGCAGUUAAAAAGCUCGUAGUUGAAUUUCGGGAUUGACGUGAUGGUCGUGCCUUAAGGGGUAUGAACUGUCGCAGUUGAUUUCUCACCUUCUGGAGAAGCAUGAUGUCCUUAAUUGGGUGUCAUGUGGAACCAGGACCUUUACCUUGAAAAAUUAGAGUGUUUAAAGCAGGCAUUUUGCUCGAAUACAUUAGCAUGGAAUAAUAGAAUAGGACGGCAUGGUUCUAUUUUGUUGGUUUCUAGGAUCACCGUAAUGAUUAAUAGGGAUAGUUGGGGGCAUUAGUAUUCAAUUGUCAGAGGUGAAAUUCUUGGAUUUAUUGAAGACUAACUACUGCGAAAGCAUUUGCCAAGGAUGUUUUCAUUAAUCAAAGAACGAAAGUUAGGGG
rnacentral:rRNA from 1 species